AACUGUGCCCAAAACCUUGUGGUGAGGGCUAAAGAAUGUGUCCAAACUGUGCCCAAAACCUUGUGGUGAGGACUAAAGAAUGUGUCCAAACUGUGGCCAAAACCUUGUGGUGAGGGCUAAAGAAUGUGUCCAAACUGUGGCCAAAACCUUGUGGUGAGGGCUAAAGAAUGUGUCCAAACUGUGCCCAAAACCUUGUGGUGAGGGCUAAAGAAUGUGUCCAAACUGUGCCCAAAACCUUGUGGCGAGGGCUAAAGAAUGUGUCCAAACUGUGCCCAAAACCUUGUGGCGAGGGCUAAAGAAUGUGUCCAAACUGUGCCCAAAACCUUGUGGUGAGGGCUAAAGAAUGUGUCCAAACUGUGGCCAAAACCUUGUGGUGAGGGCUAAAGAAUGUGUCCAAACUGUGCACUCAGCAGAACUGAAAAAGUGUGUGCGAGCAAGGACGCCUACAAACCUGACUCAGGUACACCAACUCUGUCAGGAGGAAUGGGCCAAAAUUCACCCAACUUAUUGUGGGAAGCUUGUGGAAGGCUACCCGAAACGUUUGACCCAAGUUAAACAAUUUAAAGGCAUUGCUACCAAAUACUAAUUGAGUGUAUGUAAACGUCUGACCCACUGGGAAUGUGAUGAAUGAAAUAAAAGCUGAAAUCAAUCAUUCUAUUUUUAAAAUAAAGUGGUGACCCUAACUGACCUAAGACAAGGAAUUUUUACUAGGAUGAAUUGUCAGGAAUUGUGAACAACUGAGUUUAAAUGUAUUUGGCUAAGGUGUAUGUAAACUUCCGACAUCAACUGUAUCUCUUUUCUAAACAAUAUUAAAUGUCUCCCUUGUGCUCACCAGAAAUGUGGUACAUUGUAAACAGGUCUAGCUGUUUGACUGGUUUAGGGGUCCCAAGUCAUACAGAUUCUGGCCUGUUGUUGUAUUGGAGAUGUUUUUUCUUAAAUAAAGUAAAUCACUUUG